CACGUAGGGGGCAAGCGUUGUCCGGAUUUAUUGGGCGUAAAGAGCUCGUAGGCGGCUCAGUUAGUCGGGUGUGAAACCCCCGGGCUCAACCCGGGGACGCCACCCGAUACUGCUGUGGCUAGAGUCCGGUAGGGGAGCGUGGAAUUCCUGGUGUAGCGGUGGAAUGCGUAGAGAUCCGGAAGAACACCGGUGGCGAAGGCGGUUGGCUGGGCCACAACUGACACUGAUGCGCGACAGCGUGGGUAGCAAACAGG
rnacentral:rRNA from 1 species